AACUCCCUGCAGAAGAUGCCC
rnacentral:miRNA from 1 species